ACGAGUCCCAAAUAGGACGAAAUGCGCAUCCCGGAU
rnacentral:hammerhead_ribozyme from 1 species